GGGCGGUUCCCCCUUCGGGGGGACAGGGUGACAGGUGGUGCAUGGUUGUCGUCAGCUCGUGUCGUGAGAUGUUGGGUUAAGUCCCGCAACGAGCGCAACCCUCGACCUUAGUUGCCAGCAUUCAGUUGGGCACUCUAAGGUGACUGCCGGCUAAAAGUCGGAGGAAGGUGGGGAUGACGUCAAAUCAUCAUGCCCCUUAUGACCUGGGCUACACACGUGCUACAAUGGGCGGUACAAAGGGUCGCGAACCCGCGAGGGGGAGCCAAUCCCAAAAAGCCGCUCUCAGUUCGGAUUGCAGGCUGCAACUCGCCUACAUGAAGUCGGAAUCGCUAGUAAUCGCGGAUCAGCACGCCCGCGGUCCGAAUACGUUCCGGGCCUU
rnacentral:rRNA from 1 species